rnacentral:tRNA from 1 species
GGCUAGAUUGCAGAGCGGUUAUGCGAAAGAUUGCAAAUCUUUUUUACAUGGGUUCGAAUCCCAUUCUAGCUU